rnacentral:rRNA from 1 species
AUUGAACGCUGGCGGCAGGCCUAACACAUGCAAGUCGAACGAGUGGCGGACGGGUGAGUAAUGUCUGGGAAACUGCCCGAUGGAGGGGGAUAACUACUGGAAACGGUAGCUAAUACCGCAUACCAACGGAUGUGCCCAGAUGGGAUUAGCUAGUAGGUGGGGUAACGGCUCACCUAGGCGACGAUCCAUAGCUGGUCUGAGCGGAUGACCAGCCACACUGGAAUGUAUACACUGUCCAGACUCCUACGUGAGGCAGCAGUGGGGAAUAUUGCACAAUGGGCGCAAGCCUGAUGCAUCCAUGCCGCGUGUAUGAAGAAGGCCUUCGGGUUUUAAAUUUCUUUCAGCGGGGAGGCGGUACUCGCAGAAGAAGCACCGGCUAACUCCGUGCCAGCCGCCGCGGUAAUAC